rnacentral:rRNA from 1 species
CAGCAGCCACGGUAAUACGUAGGUGGCAAGCGUUGUCCGGAAUUAUUGGGCGUAAAGGGCUGGCAGGCGGUUUCUUAAGUCUGAUGUGAAAGCCCCCGGCUCAACCCGGGAGGGUCAUUGGAAACUGGGAAACUUGAGUGCAGAAGAGGAGAGUGGAAUUCCACGUGUAGCGGUGAAAUGCGUAGAGAUGUGGAGGAACACCAGUGGCGAAGGCGACUCUCUGGUCUGUAACUGACGCUGAGGAGCGAAAGCGUGGGGAGCGAACAGGAUUAGAUACCCGAGUAGUCCCUGUCUCUUAUAC